rnacentral:rRNA from 1 species
UCCCGCCUGCCCUGUGACAACGUUCAACGGCCGCGGUAUUUUGACCGUGCAAAGGUAGCGUAAUCACUUGUCUUUUAAAUGAAGACCUGUAUGAAAGGCAUCACGAGAGUUUAACUGUCUCUAUUUUCUAAUCAAUGAAAUUGAUCUAUUCGUGCAGAAGCGAAUAUAAUAACAUUAGACGAGAAGACCCUAUGGAGCUUCAAACACUUAAAUUAAUUAUGUAACCAUCCAUUUCCCAGGAAAUAAACAAAAUAUACAACACUUCUAAUUUAACUGUUUUUGGUUGGGGUGACCAAGGGGAAAAACAAAUCCCCCUCAUCGAUUGAGUACUAAGUACUUAAAAAUUAGAAUGACAAUUCUAAUUAAUAAAACAUUUACCGAAAAAUGAUCCAGGAUUUCCUGAUCAAUGAACCAAGUUACCCUAGGGAUAACAGCGCAAUCCUUUCUCAGAGUCCCUAUCGAAGAGAGGGUUUACGACCUCGAUGUUGGAUCAGGACAUCCUAAUGGUGCAACCGCUAUUAAGGGUUCGUUUGUUCAACGAUUAAUAGUCCU